rnacentral:lncRNA from 13 species
UUUUCGUACUUGAAGAAAGCUGAAAGUGCAGAAACAAUUUGACCUAAUAAAAUCACUGGCAGUCAUUGGCAAAAGACUUAAAGGGUUAACUCAGUGGAGAGAGGCCAGCUCAUCCUACCAGCCACCACAUUGGUUAAAGAGAGAGAGGCCAGCUCAUCCUACCAGCCACCACAUUGGUUAAAGAGAGAGAGGCCAGCUCAUCCUACCAGCCACCACAUUGGUUAAAGAGAGAGAGAGAGGCCAGCUCAUCCUACCAGCCACCACAUUGGUUAAAGAGAGAGAGAGGCCAGCUCAUCCUACCAGCCACCACAUUGGUUAAAGAGAGAGAGGCCAGCUCCCCCUACCAGCCCCCACAUUGGUUAAAGAGAGAGAGGCCAGCUCCCCUUACCAGCCACCACAUUGGUUAAAGAG